CUUCCUGGUUUUGCGGUUUUUGCCUUUAUAAACCCUAACCUUUGGUUAUUCGGGGCUGCUCUGCUCAUGAUGAUCAGACAGCCCCAGCAUGCUGGAUAAUCAAUAAAGCUUCCCCUUGCUGUUUGCAUAAGAGAUGUCUCUUGGUGACGUUUUUCGGGCAGUCGACUCUAACAUUUGGAGGCCCCAGCGAGAUCGGGGCUGCCCGUGGACGCCUCCAACAGAAGUCUCUUGGGGAGUGGAUUGGCCCCCCAUUUACCACUCAUUCGCUGAGUGAAAGAGGCCAUUCUCCUGCCUGGCCGUCCUGGGCACCCGGACCGGGAUUUUGAGAAGACAUCGGAGGUCAGUAUUCCUUCCCUCAAGCGGGAUCGGAUCUGUGGAAGUGACCGUUGAGUGUCCGGCACCCCACAGCUCUCCGAGAACGCGGAGUCCCCCCGGCCACGGCUUAGCUACGGUCGAAACUCCAGAGGGAUUGUAAGGAACGGGAGGGAAAUUAGGAAGGGCAGUUGGCUGAGAGCCUGGAGACCCCCUGAGCUCGCUUUGGCUUCCCGGCGGCCGGACUGCGACCCGAGGAUCAGGUCUCUCUCUCGGAGGGACGCCUGGUCACGCUGCCUACUGCUACGCGAGCAGGGCUUAGCUUCGGUCGAGGCUAAUAUUGGCCCUUCAGGUAAACUCAGACAACUAGGUAGUGGGUAACCUUGAGUGAUAGGAGAUUUCAAACCCCACUCAGCCCCCAGACAGCAGGAGGUCAUUGCUUUCUGCCUUCCUCCUCCUCCCCGGGGCUCCUUCCCCCACUCUUUUGCUCUCCUCAUCUCCAUUCCUAUACCACUGGGCAGGAGAAAGGGAGAGGGAAAUUCCACAAGUCUCUCCACCUAGGGAAAAGCUGUUACCUGUUACCUGUUAACCCUUUCCAACCUGGUAGAAAGUUUUCCGUCUUUGCAGCUUAUGGUAGCUCUGGUGCGUCUUAAAGUUUUUUGUGAACUAUUACUGUUGCUAAGCUUUGAUUGCCUGAGGACUAAAUCUGGAAAAGAGCUAAAGUUAACUAUCUGUUGUAAUUGACUGAAUGUCUGCAGUAGUCCUAAUUAAUCUGGCUUUGGUUAAAUUAUAGGAGGUUCCCAACACUCUUGGUAAAAUGGCGCACCUACCCAACCCCACAGUUAGUCCUGCCAAGCCCUGGUGUGCGCAGUCUUUCCUGUAAAUGGGGGACCACAGCCUUUCUCUGCACUCUAUUCUAGUCCAUGUGGCCUGGUGCACCCAGGCAGCCAUAGCCAAAUAUCUCUAGGCAGAGCCCCCACCCCAGUGCUGCUUCUUUUUUCCUCUCCUGGAGGAAUUUCCAAUUCAAUAUUACUGCUGGCCUUACCUAAGGGAGCCAGAACCUUAAGCCAUUAACCCUUUCCAACUUGAUGGGUUUUUCUCUUUGCAGCUAAUGAAAACCUAAACAAUGGGUUCAUAUGCUGAUAAUCAGCUCUUUUCUGUGCUGCUGUCCCUGACUCAUCUGAGAGCGUUCACCUGUCUUGAAGGUUUCGCGUUUUUCUAUUGCCAUUAGAGUCUUGAUUAAAAAAAAACACAAUGCAAAGUUGUUUACAUUGUUUAUCUGUUUUUAAUGUCUGAAUGAUUACCCAACUGAUCAGAAAUGUACUAAUUUUGGCUAAAUGGUUUGACUCUCUGACAGCUUAAAUUCUAAAUCGAGUCUUCCAACUUUGGGCUUCCAGUUGGAUCCCUGGAACUCUCAAAGGAUGAGACUCUAAAUUUGUUAAAGUAACAGCUGCUUGGGUCAAUUCAGAUUAUAUAAAAUAUAUUAAAAUGUUAUAAAUGGUGUCAGACCUAUGCUGUAUUUAUGUUUUUGCUUUCCAGCUAAAGUGGUCUUAUAAAAAUAAGAGUAAAAUUCUGUGUAUACAAGCCUUUAUGUUGUUAACUAAAGUAAGCCAAUGCAGAUUGGUUCAGAAAACUGAGGUAAUGCAAACACCCUUUGGUUUGCUCAGUGGCUUGCUUGCUCAGUUUUACAUGUCUUUGAUAUGCUUUAAACUUGUUUCUCUUAAUGAGGAAGAUCUUUUCAAAGUUGUAAACAUGCACUAAUGUUUGCUGUCCAGGAGGUGUUAUCCUUGUGUUACUUAAAAAUAUAAAAAUGUAAUUUUAACUUUUAUUUCAGAUAAUGGUGUGGUAUUCAUUAAUAACUCAGUGUCUUAAGUCAUCUAGGCAUCAGUGCUAAGUAAAACUUGGAAAAAUAUAUUAUAUAUACUUUUAACAUCUCAAAUUCAAUAAAAAAAAACUGUUUGAGUUUGUUAACAUGUAUUCGCAUAGGUUGUCCAUACAUGACAAUUCAAGGCUAAUAAAAGUAACUAUGAGUAUAAAGUUUCAAAAGGUAUAAACAAGUCAUAAAAAGUUUUAAAAUGUUUAUAAUUUUAAAAUAUUAUUUACAGAGUUAAGUGCUAAUGCUAAAAUUACACUGACCUAAAGUUAAAGUCUAAUCUUCUGUUAUAACAAUGGGGUUUAAAAAAAAAAAGUGUACUAAUAUUAGUAAAUAUCUAAAAAUGGUCUAAAUCAUAAAUCUUGAAAUCUGUUUUUGCAAAAACUGUAACGUCUAUUUUAACAGUGUCUGCUUAAUCAGUUACUCUGCCAUUUCUAGAGUUAGGUCCUGUAAACUCUUUUUGACUCUGCUAAAUAAUUCUAAAUUAUGUAAACUCUUAUAUACAAGGUUUUUUUUUUAUUUCUGGUUUAUUCGACAACAAGAGACAUAAAAUUCAUGUUAAUCCAUUGUGUACUCUACUGUCUCUGUUAAGUUAUGGUUAUGUGGCAGAUGCUAGAAAACUGGGUUCCAGAAACCCAAGAAAGCUCUAGUGUCCACAGGCUACACGGUAAAUACCCGGAAGCCAAAGAAUGGCAGAGAACUCUGCCAUAAUUUCUCCUCUAAGUCGGGCUACGCAGUAAACACUGGUUAAACUGCCAGUUAAAUCUAAAAGCCCAGAAAGUCAGGCUAGAGACCCAACUCGCUGCCUCACUUCUCCUCUUUUCUCUUCCAGAAGGGAAGUUACUACUGUUCUGCAGGACUCUCCACUGUGAUGUACGGUUUAAUCCCCAGACCUUAUGUAAGGGAUGACUGACCUUUUCUGUAAUAAUGCCUGGCCACAGUAUAGGGCCCCAAACAACAACAACAACAACAACAAAGGUUAAACUAUAAAAUAAUGUGACAACUAGAUCAAUUUUUCGGUGUAAAAAGUUACACUGACGACCUCAAAGUAUGCAAGCAGGUCACCACAGUUGAUCUUACCUAAAGGGUCAUAGUUCUCCUCAUGGGCACAGUCUUAACUCGCAGGAAGAUAUUAAGUGUCAGAAUUUGCCCAUGACCAUAGUUUUUCUAGCUCACCCUGAUAUUUAAAAAAAAAAUCUCCAAAAAUCAGGAUUGGGUUGAGCACCCCCUUGACUGACAUCAUAGAGGCUGACUCCUUGGUCUACUUUAUUAGAGACCAGGAAAACGCGGAGCAAGCUAGCAGCAGAGGAUAGACAACAGACCAAUCAAUGGCUGCUUUACACGGUGAUUGCCAUCAAGGAGACCCAGCAAGGCCAAUGCACCCCAAACGGCACCUGUUGCUGAUAUAAGGAGCCAGGGCAUUGGGCAAGCAGCUGUCGUGACAGCAAAUGCCUUCUGUCAGCCCUGCCAAGAGCACGGCCACUGGACACGGAACUGCCCUGGGUGUCGAAGGACUCCUGGUUCAGAACCGCUGACCCUGUGGCCCCGAGCUAAAAAGCCUUUGGCUCUGUCCAGCCUCUGCCCAGCUUCCAGCUCCAGCCACUGCUAUUGAGGGGAUGGCCUAGGGUCAGUGAAACGCAAGUUGCCUAUUUCUAUCAGCCUCCUAUUCAGCUCUCCUCCUAGUCCAGCCAUGUAAUGCAAGUCAACAGGGUGCCUCCCUUAAAGGAGAUUUGCAUCUCUUUCAAUUCUCUUCCAGCAUCCCAAGGAUAGGUCUGGGCCUCACACACCCAGCCAUGCCUUAAGUCUAUCCAAUAACAUUAAGCUUAGAAAGCCCUCCCUGCCAGUUCCUAAAAACAGGGCUUUCAGUAACAGCUAACUCAGAUAGCCCUACACCUAUUUGGACAGGUCCUCACUGAGGACUUAAAGGGCCUAUCUCUUAAGGGGUGUGCACAAUAAUCCAUAAUAUAAAUAGUUAAAUGUAAGUAAUUCAUUAGUCUGUCUUCUUUCCAAGCCUGAGACGCUAGUCUUGUACAUUGGCUUAACUUCCUAGCAAAACUGGCUACUAAAUAUCUAAUAUAUAUAUAUAUAUAUAUACACACACACAUAUAGUCUCUGGGUCAAUCAGACUAGACAGACACAAACCCAAAUUUGUACUUUUUCUGGAAAAAGCCAAACAGCUCCAGGACCAGGCCAAGCAGGGCUGGGAUUUCUGGCCUAACAUCUGAUCAUAAAAAUCCUGGCUAUUUCCUCUCCUUGGCCCACUAACUUCUGCAAUCUUGAUGCUUCUCUUUGGGCUGUGUGUUUUUAAUGCCCUUGUUCAUUUUGUCUCUAACAGACUAAAAGCUGUUGAACUCCAAAUGGUCAUCAGGCAAGACUUCCAGCCCAUUCCACUGGACGAUUUGAGCAGCCCUCUGGACCGAGCAACGCAGUCUUUCCAAGGCCACUGUUGCACACCAUAAGACAGGUAGCAAGAGGAAAUACCCAAAUCCCCCUCGACGCCCACAUGCCAGCUUCGAAGAAGUUACAGAAAAUGGAACUCCAUCCAUAAUCCCAAAGAAGAAUUUUGGGUAUUACCUCUUGAGGGGAAAAUAUUAGGCAGAAAGUCAGUUAUGAGCUUAUGUGUGUGUGACAUAAAGGCCUAAUGUGUCCAGCAUAUGCAUCUACAUCUCAGUCAUCUUGACAAUGUUUCACGGGCAGCCUGGCCUUUGCAUCCUGCCCUGCCCCCUUCUACCUGAUAACCUUCCAGGUGGAGAUGCCCGCCCCUUCUGCCUGACAAAUCUUCCACAAUCUCCCAGAUGCAGCCCAGUAUCUGCAUUUCAGUAUCACAGAACAGGCGGGGGUUAAAUCUCAUUUUCAUGGGGGUGGGUUAUGCGCGGCCCUAAAAAAAAAAAAAAUGUUAUUUUUAUGUCAACUAAACUGGGGUGGUUAGAAACUCCAUGGCUAAACUCAAAAAAAUGACUGAAAAAACGGCAACGGGAGAGGGAAACUCAACAGGGAUGGUUUGAGUCAUAGUUCGGCCGGUCCCCGUGGCUUACUACUCUACUGUCAGCCCUAACAGGACCCUUAAUUGUUCUACUCCUAAUUGUAACCAUAGGACCUUGUGUGUUAAAUAGACUCAUCACCUUCGUGCAGGAACAAGUUAAAAAUGUUAAACUCAUAAUCAUAAGACAACAAUAUGUCACAUUAAAAGAUACAAAAACAAAUCUCUAAGAUUAGAGAUCCUCACAACAAGGAGUGGGGAAUGAAGAGUUAAAAUUGUAUAUGUACAGGUGUCAAAAGUUAAGCUUAAGCUUACAGGUUUAAACCUUCCUAGUGCAGCUGUAAAAAUAAAACAGUGAAGUAGCACCUUGACAGUAGGGACUCCAUUUUGGAGCACUUGAGACUGCAUUCUGGGAAAGCAACCCCCCCACCGUGAGACUCUGGUCCGAAACUAUGAUCUCAAAUAGUCGGACAAUAGCAGUGCACUACAUCACCCUUGGCAACACACAAAAACCCGCUAGCAUGAUUGCUCAAGCUUAAAAGUAGAAAGGUUGCACCUGGGUUACCUGGGCUAAUAAUGAAGAUGUGAUUUGUCUAUGUCUUAAGAUCAUAAUUGCGGAUUGUAAGACUUUAGCAACCCCUUAACAACCGUGUAUUCUCCCCUUCCUGGUUUUGCGGUUUUUGCCUUUAUAAACCCUAACCUUUGGUUAUUCGGGGCUGCUCUGCUCAUGAUGAUCAGACAGCCCCAGCAUGCUGGAUAAUCAAUAAAGCUUCCCCUUGCUGUUUGCAUAA